GUUAAUUUUAAUGGCGCCACUUGUCUACCACUGUUUAGCCCUAUUUCCCCCCUUUCCCCUGUCAAUCUAAGUCAUCUUCUUUGUGAUCUCGUCCUUUCCAAUUUUUCUGAACUGAAGUGACUCUUGCCCUGACAGAUAAUUACUUGUAUUCGCGUUUUGAAUAUUGUGACCAAAUUGUUCUGACGUGCAGUCUCAGACGUCGUCGACACAUGCAAUUUGUGACAAGGUGGCAAUUCUCACACCUCCUCCUUUAGGUUGUGUGUGUGUUGUGCCCUAUAUGUGCAUGAGUGUGUCCAGGACGGACCACUCUUAUUUCCAUUUUCCCAUCGAAGACUGGUCCCCAGGAUUGAUGAUGAUGGAUGCCUGAUUGUGUGUCGAUGUUCUGAUUCUGACAGUGACUUGAAGUUACACGACAGACAUUGAUUGCUUUAAAUACAGUCCACUUCUACUUGUCCGACCUCGAGUUAUCAUCUGGUCCUUCGAGCCGGAGCUACCGGCAUCGUUCUGAAUCACGCUGUUCAGCAUUUGAUUCGACUUCGACUGGCGUUGUAGCAGACCUGCCCACGCCUUCAGCAUUUGAUUCGACUUCGACUGGCGUUGUAGCAGACCUGCCCACGCCUUCAGCGUUUUGAUUCGACUUCAACUGGCGUUGUAGCAGACCUGCCCACGCCUCAUCUUCAGCAUUUCAUUUGACUUCGACUGUCGUUGUAGCAGACCUGCCCACGCCUUCAGCGUUUUGAUUUGACUUCAACUGGCUUUGUAGCAGACCUGCCCACGCCUCUUCAGCAUCUGAUUCGACUUCGACUGGCGUUGUAGCAGACCUGCCCACGCCUUCCAGUAUUUGAUUUGAUUUGCCUGCCGUUAAAACCGACCGGCCACGCUGAUCAGCGUUGAAUUGACCUGCGCUGUGGCGCCUUGACAAAGAUUGUCUGCCGUUAAGCAGACCCGACCAAGCCAACGAGAACCAAGUUGGAAGGAACUGACCAGUUCCAGCUAAGAGGAUCCUUGCCCGUCAAGCAGAGCCGACUACUCGACGAGAACCAAGUUGGGGAGUUCAGCUAUAGACCGACGGUGUUCCAGGAUCCUAAUUUUACCCUCAUUUGAACUGACUAAGAGCCUGCCGUUAAGCAGGCAACCCAGGAGACGAAGAUUCUCCAUCGACGAGCAGAGCUGCCAUCCACUACGUUGCUGUUAGCUCUGAUCCUUCGCUGUCUCCUAGCCCUUUUCAUCAUGGCGGAGGAUAUUGCAGCAUUCACCAUCGACCAAUGCAGGGCCCGCCAGAAGGUACUGCGCUUUAAGAUAACCGGAUGCUGCACCCGUAUGCGGAAAGUUAUAACCAACAAGCUUUCACGCCGUGAAGCCACGCGCCUCCUGGAUGAGGCUCGCACCCUCCUUGGUGAUUCCGGCCCGAUUAAUGACCGUUUAUUGGAGCUGUUG
rnacentral:lncRNA from 1 species